UACGGAGGGGACUAGCGUUGUUCGGAAUUACUGGGCGUAAAGCGCACGUAGGCGGAUUUGUUAGUCAGGGGUGAAAUCCCGGGGCUCAACCUCGGAACUGCCUUUGAUACAGCAAGUCUUGAGUUCGAGAGAGGUGGGUGGAAUUCCUAGUGUAGAGGUGAAAUUCGUAGAUAUUAGGAAGAACACCGGUGGCGAAGGCGGCCCACUGGCUCGACACUGACGCUGAGGCGCGAAAGCUAGGGGAGCAAACGGG
rnacentral:rRNA from 1 species